AGAGUUUGAUCAUGGCUCAGAUUGAGCGCUGGCGGCAUGCCUUACACAUGCAAGUCGAACGGCAGCACGGGGGCAACCUGGUGGCGAGUGGCGAACGGGUGAGUAAUGCAUCGGAACGUGCCAUUGAGUGGGGGAUAACGUAGCGAAAGUUGCGCUAAUACCGCAUAUUCUGUGAGCAGGAAAGCAGGGGACCGCAAGGCCUUGCGCUCUUUGAGCGGCCGAUGUCAGAUUAGCUAGUUGGUGAGGUAACGGCUUACCAAGGCGACGAUCCGUAGCGGGUCUGAGAGGAUGAUCCGCCACACUGGAACUGAGACACGGUCCAGACUCCUACGGGAGGCAGCAGUGGGGAAUUUUGGACAAUGGGCGCAAGCCUGAUCCAGCCAUGCCGCGUGAGCGAAGAAGGCCUUCGGGUUGUAAAGCCCUUUUGUCCGGAAAGAAAAGCAUUCGGUUAAUACCCGGGUGUUCUGACGGUACCGGAAGAAUAAGCACCGGCUAACUUCGUG
rnacentral:rRNA from 1 species